AUUGAACGCUGGCGGCGUGCCUAACACAUGCAAGUCGAGCGGUAACAGGUGUAGCAAUACAUGCUGACGAGCGGCGACGGGUGAGUAACGCUUGGGAAUCUGCCUAUUAGUGGGGACAACCCGGGGAACUCGGGCUAAUACCGCAUACGCUCUACGGAGGAAAGCCGGGGACCGCAAGGCCUGGCGCUAAUAGAUGAGCCCAAGUCGGAUUAGCUAGUUGGUAGGGUAAUGGCCUACCAAGGCGACGAUCCGUAACUGGUCUGAGAGGAUGGCCAGCCACAUUGGGACUGAGACACGGCCCAGACUCCUACGGGAGGCAGCAGUGGGGAAUAUUGCGCAAUGGCCGCAAGGCUGACGCAGCGACGCCG
rnacentral:rRNA from 1 species